rnacentral:tRNA from 21 species
ACGAGUGUAGCUCAGCUGGUAGAGCAUCGGUCUCCAAAACCGAGGGCCGGGGGUUCGAAUCCCUCCACUCGUGCCA